GUUUAAGGUGCUUUCUGACAUCUGUGAUAUAGUAAAAACAAGCAACUCCCAACAGGCUCGGGAGAGUUGAAGAGGGCAGCGUGUCUGCAGCCUAGACAUCCACACCAAGCCGUUUGUCCUCACUGCCCCACCAAUCAGAAAUUAAUUCACAUCCGAGCAGACCCUGGUCAAAAGCGGAGUACACCAUGUGCGAAGAAACGGGGGCAAGGCGGUUGCAGUCUGUUGGGAAGACUGAGGUCAUGUUUUCUAUCGGCGCUCAGCCGAGCCCAAAGAACAUGUAACACAACGUUAUGUCAUGGAACC